rnacentral:sRNA from 1 species
GUCAGACACGGUGGCACUUGUCUGUAAUCCUAGUGACUUGGGAGGCUGAGGCAGGAGGAUUGCAAGUUUGAGGCCAGCCACAGCAACUUAGUGAGACCCUGUCUCAA